AUUUGUAAAUACCUAUGACAUCACAGACAUAGGUCGAGAAGAAUGUUUUAAGCAAAACAUGCGCUUGAAAGAGUGGGAUAUUAGGAGGGGAAUCAUACCAAGAAGUUAUUAGAGAAAGUAGGCAUUAAGUAAUGACAUUAACAGAAUUAACAUAAUUCUUUUAGUAUUUAACAGGAGGUAAUACAGUAUGCUGGGCAUUAUUUUUCUUUACAUGAGGGUGGGGGGAUAUGGCUAACAUUUUUUGAGUAUGCUGUAUUACCUGCCAAUCAUCUGGCACUUCACAGUCUGAAUUUUGAUAUAAAAAAUUAGGGAUAGUAGGCAUUGCUUACAUAUUCUGAGCUACCUGAGACUCAGAAAAAAAAAAAGUUACACAGAGUCACACGGAUCUUAAACUCUGUCCGUGGGAGUCACACUUGGAGUAUUGGUUUCCUUAAAUGGUGUUUGUUGGCAACAUUUUUAUGAGCAAUGACAUGUGUCCCAUGCUUAGUGCCAUCUAUGAAUUAGGAAAUGGACCCUCAUCAGCCACCAUACCACAUCUGCCAGCAUCGUGAUCUUGCACUUCCAGCCUCCAGAACUGUGAGAAAUAAAUGUUGUUUAUAAGCCA